rnacentral:rRNA from 1 species
CCUACGGGAGGCAGCAGUGAGGAAUAUUGGUCAAUGGGCGGAAGCCUGAACCAGCCAAGUAGCGUGCAGGAUGACGGCCCUACGGGUUGUAAACUGCUUUUAUACGGGAAUAACGCGCCUUACGUGUAGGGCUUUGCAUGUACCCUAUGAAUAAGCACCGGCUAAUUCCGUGCCAGCAGCCGCGGUAAUACGGAAGGUUCGGGCGUUAUCCGGAUUUAUUGGGUUUAAAGGGUGCGUAGGCGGCAUGUCAAGCGUGCUGUGAAAUGUCCGGGCUCAACCCGGUCCUUGCAGCGCGAACUGGCGGGCUUGAGUGCGCGGAAAGCAGGCGGAAUUCGUGGUGUAGCGGUGAAAUGCUUAGAUAUGACGAAGAACCCCGAUUGCGAAGGCAGCAUGCUGCAGCGGAACUGACGCUGAUGCUCGAAAGCGCGGGUAUCGAACAGGAUUAGAUACCCCUGUAGUC